AUUGCUUCUUAGUCUUUUGGCUUAGGGUAGUAUCUAGUUUAUCAGUUUACUAUCUGGUAUUUCUUCUACCUGAAGUCAAUAUAUUAAGUGGAGUUUUGGAGCUGGGAGAUGGACUUGGAGCUAGCUCCAUCCAUUCUAUACAUCAACCUUGUACUGCAGUCAGUACCUCCAGGAACCAUGCACCCUCU
ensembl:snRNA U2 U2 spliceosomal RNA